UGCAGUCCCUGCACAGGUAAUAAAGCUCCUAAUAUUCAAAAUUACUCUAUGUCCGAGUAAGGUUGAUUCUCCUGCGUUACAACAUUUGGAGGCCCCAGCGAGAUCAACCGUGAGGUCCCCCACUCUAAGAGCUUGACCUCCUCGGAAUAGGCGGAGGAAGCCUCCACAUCCUCCACCGCUACAUUGGGCUUUCAAUUCGGUUUGGAGCUUUCUGUUUCAUCCCAGGGUUGUGGGAAUGUAGAAUGCCCAUAUCCCCUACUCGAAUGUGAUCUCCUCCAGAGAUCAUUCAAUUGCUGGCCACUGCCACUCCAGGCCAGUCCUCGCAUCAAGUUCCCCAGGACAUUGCUGUCAAUCCUGCCAGCCUGCCUCCUGCAUGAUGACCCGGAGAAACCUCUGCAGGACUGCCUGGAGGCAAUCGGCACUGUAAAAGGCCACCCAGACCUCAAGGAUGACCCACUGCCAUCAUCAGAUGACGUAUUGUUCACGGAUGGGAGCAGCUAUGUCCAGGAAGAAAUCAGGUAUGCUGGGGCAGCAGUAGUAACUCUGGACCGUGUCAUUUGGACUCAGUCAUUAAACAGAGAAACUUCAGCCCAAUGAGCUGAACUCAUAGCCCUAAUCCAGGCUCUCUGAUGGGGCAAGGGGAAACCGUGGUGCAAAUAAGGAAGCUCGACAGAUGGCCCUAAAACCAUUGGGGAUCUCUCCAGAUAUCAGUCACCUUGCCAAACACAAGUUUGCCUCUGACUCCUACUUACACUAGGUCAGAAAAUGACUUAAUCACGGAGAAACAAGCCACGAAGAAAAGCAAUGGAUGGCUCUGCAGUCUGCCCAGAAGGCCAUCCAUAAACACAU